rnacentral:lncRNA from 1 species
GUGACGCGGCGCCGGGUCGCCGCCGCAGAUUCGACACAAAACCCGGAAGGACCCCGCCGAAGGUUUUCUCCGGUUCGGGAGAGAGACGGAGUCCCGCUCUGUCACGCAGGCUGCCAGGCUGGCGUACAGUGGCGCAAUCUCAGCUCGCUGCAACCUCCACCUCCUGGGUUCAAGCGAUUUUCUUGCCUCUGCCUCCUGAGUAGCUGGGAUUACUGGCACACACCACCAUGCACAGGGAGAUAUGAGACAUCAAUCAAUAUAUGUAAGAUGUACAUCAGUUUCGUCUGGAAAGAUGGGACAACAUGAAGCAGGGAGGGGGCUCCCUGGUGACAGUUGCAGGAAUUUAGCCAAUUCAGAGGUCUUGUUCUCCAUAAUUUGGAAUUUUCCUUCGGAUUUGAUCAAGUUGGAUAGAGUUGGUCAAACCCAAUGGGAAAAAGAUGAAAACAACAAGAAACAGAAACAAACAGCAACAACAACAACAACAAAAACAGUUAAGUGAAACAAACAAACAAUCACACAAU